GUUGUUGGGUAGGGGAGCGUUCUGUAAGCCUGUGAAGGUGUACUGUGAGGUAUGCUGGAGGUAUCAGAAGUGCGAAUGCUGACAUAAGUAACGAUAAAGCGGGUGAAAAGCCCGCUCGCCGGAAGACCAAGGGUUCCUGUCCAACGUUAAUCGGGGCAGGGUGAGUCGACCCCUAAGGCGAGGCCGAAAGGCGUAGUCGAUGGGAAACAGGUUAAUAUUCCUGUACUUGGUGUUACUGCGAAGGGGGGACGGAGAAGGCUAUGUUGGCCGGGCGACGGUUGUCCCGGUUUAAGCGUGUAGGCUGGUUUUCCAGGCAAAUCCGGAAAAUCAAGGCUGAGGCGUGAUGACGAGGCACUACGGUGCUGAAGCAACAAAUGCCCUGCUUCCAGGAAAAGCCUCUAAGCAUCAGGUAACAUCAAAUCGUACCCCAAACCGACACAGGUGGUCAGGUAGAGAAUACCAAGGCGCUUGAGAGAACUCGGGUGAAGGAACUAGGCAAAAUGGUGCCGUAACUUCGGGAGAAGGCACGCUGAUAUGUAGGUGAAGCGACUUGCUCGUGGAGCUGAAAUCAGUCGAAGAUACCAGCUGGCUGCAACUGUUUAUUAAAAACACAGCACUGUGCAAACACGAAAGUGGACGUAUACGGUGUGACGCCUGCCCGGUGCCGGAAGGUUAAUUGAUGGGGU
rnacentral:rRNA from 1 species